GAUGAACGCUAGCUACAGGCUUAACACAUGCAAGUCGAGGGGCAGCAUGGUCUUAGCUUGCUAAGGCCGAUGGCGACCGGCGCACGGGUGAGUAACACGUAUCCAACCUGCCGUCUACUCUUGGACAGCCUUCUGAAAGGAAGAUUAAUACAAGAUGGCAUCAUGAGUCCGCAUGUUCACAUGAUUAAAGGUAUUCCGGUAGACGAUGGGGAUGCGUUCCAUUAGAUAGUAGGCGGGGUAACGGCCCACCUAGUCUUCGAUGGAUAGGGGUUCUGAGAGGAAGGUCCCCCACAUUGGAACUGAGACACGGUCCAAACUCCUACGAGAGGCAGCAGUGAGGAAUAUUGGUCAAUGGGCGCAGGCCUGAACCAGCCAAGUAGCGUGAAGGAUGACUGCCCUAUGGGUUGUAAACUUCUUUUAUAAAGGAAUAAAGUCGGGUAUGUAUACCCGUUUGCAUGUACUUUAGGAAUAAGGAUCGGCUAACUCCGU
rnacentral:rRNA from 1 species